AGUCCUGUAUAGAAAUAUAUUUCUGCUCAUAAAAUGAUUUUGCUCUGUGCAGACAUCAGUGGAACCUAACUGUGUGCUCCAGAUUUUUCAUGUGUUUUCUUGGUAAUUUCUUGAACGGGACCGUUACUGGGUGUUUUGCUGAAGCAUAUUCUCAACCAACCCAGAGAUCUCCUGACAGAUAUGUUAUUUCUGUCUUACUUAUAUUGUGGUGUUUCAAUGGAGAAAUGAUUUAAACUUCUCAGAGGACACCGGGAAGACUAAGAGUGAUAUGAAGAACUUCCUUGACUUUUCAGUGCUGAUACAGAGUACUCGGAAAAAUCAAUACAGCUUCUCCAGGAUAUCAACUCUGCAGAUUCCUACAGAAGAGCAAGAGACAAAGAGAAAGAAUAAUAGGGCUAGACUCAGAGGAGAAAUCAUCAUUGUCCUUCAGAAUCCAACCUUAAGUGAAAAGGAGAAGCAGUCAAAUUGUAAUUUCAACUCUGUGCUGUCAGUGAGAGCUGCGAACAUGAAGCAGUUGCCAUUCUCAGUGGAACAAGAACCAAGUAGGAACUGGAGUUUCAGCACUCUCAGGCUCGUCCUGCAUUUGCUUCCUCACACGCCACUGAAAUACCAGAUUUGCUUGACAGAAGAAAAAAAGGCUGCAGUGUUGUCAGGAUCUCUAACUACAAUCCUCUGGCAAUGAAAGAGACCCCAGAAAUUAUGUAUAGUACGCUGCAGUGAAAACAUUAAAAGCCUCACUUUCCUACCUGCUGCACCCCAGUCAUUUUCUCUUCUUGACACAAGAUGGAGAAAAGGGGACAACCAGUAGUCAGAAAGGUAAAAGAAACACAUUUCUUUUAAAGUUGGAACAAGUCACAAAAUAAUGGACA
rnacentral:lncRNA from 1 species